rnacentral:rRNA from 1 species
GAAGAGCAAGAAAGUGAACUUCUGCUCCUCAGUUCCUUGGAAGAUCUUGAUUUCUCUAUUCUACCAUAUCUCGAAGAUCUUCCUGCGGGGCUACAUAGCCAUCCCUCCCUCAAGAGGUUGGUGAUCUGCAGAUGUCCGAGAAUCUCAAGGCUGCCAGAAAAGGGCCUCCCGCCUUCGCUGGAAAAGUUGGAGACACGGUUUUGCAGCGAUGAGCUAAAUAAUCAAUGCAGAAUGCUAGCAUCAAGCAAGCUACUGGUCCGAACUGUUCCGCGCAUGAUUUGA